GGAUUUUUUGUCUUCUUAUGCUAUAUACCAGCUGUUCGGCAAAAGAUUUUCUCUCUCUUUUCUGCUCUGGUAUUUGGUUGGUAUCCAGAUCCAGCCAACUCUACAUGGGCAAAAGAAUUCACAUCUACAAAGGAUGAAUCAAGGUCCAAUUCUACAGAGUUUUUAAGCCAGCCAGUCAGAUCUGAAGACCCUGAAACUCUACAAAUAAAGGAAGUCUUAAUUGAAAGACAUGACUUUGCUUUUAUGGAUGGGCACAUAUACAAAAAUACCAAGACAGAAGCACUAUCUAUGAGAACUAACAACUGCAAUUCUUUGACUACCGAUAUAACAGAUAGUACUGGGAACUAUCAGUUGCCAUCUUUGUACAAAAAACUUCUACCUGAAGAUCCAAGUGAAAGCCAAAUAUUUUCUGAGUGCUUAGUUAAUCCACUCGAGAAUGCCACAGUAGAUUACCUGCCAACCACCACACCUGCCAUUAUGACUUCCGAGGAAGACAGCUUUGGAUCUGAACUCAGUUCAUUGCCUAUUUUCCCUAUAACUUCUUUUCGAAGAAAUUCAGGUUUUUUGGGUGGAAAACUUACUCUGGAUGCUAUAAAAAUGGACUGUAGUUCUUUCACAGAGAACCCUUUUUUAAGAACAGAGAUAUAGGGAAGGUUGCUCUUAAGCAUUAAAACUACCUGUACUGUGAGGC